rnacentral:tRNA from 1 species
GGAGGCAUAGCUCAGUUGGUUAGAGCGCAUGCUUGACAUGCAUGAGGUCGUUGGUUCGAAUCCAUCUGUCUCCACCA